rnacentral:rRNA from 1 species
AACGAACGCUGGCGGCAGGCCUAACACAUGCAAGUCGAACGCCGUAGCAAUACGGAGUGGCAGACGGGUGAGUAACACGUGGGAACGUACCCUUCGGUUCGGGAUAACUCAGGGAAACUUGAGCUAAUACCGGAUACGUCCGAGAGGAGAAAGAUUUAUCGCCGAGGGAUCGGCCCGCGUCUGAUUAGCUUGUUGGUGAGGUAACGGCUCACCAAGGCGACGAUCAGUAGCUGGCUGAGAGGAUGAUCAGCCACAUUGGGACUGAGACACGGCCCAAACUCCUACGGGAGGCAGCAGUGGGGAAUAUUGGACAAUGGGCGCAAGCCUGAUCCAGCCAUGCCGCGUGAGUGAUGAAGGCCCUAGGGUUGUAAAGCUCUUUUGUGCGGGGAAGAUAAUGACGGUACCGCAAGAAUAAGCCCCGGCUAACUUCGUGCCAGCAGCCGCAGUAAU